GACGUAGGAUGCAAGCGUUAUCCGGAAUGAUUGGGCGUAAAGCGUCCGCAGGCGGCAGUUCAAGUCUGCUGUCAAAGACCGGGGCUUAACUUCGGAAAGGCAGUGGAAACUGAACAGCUAGAGUAUGGUAGGGGCAGAGGGAAUUCCUGGUGUAGCGGUGAAAUGCGUAGAGAUCAGGAGGAACACCGGUGGUGUAGACGGCUUUCUGGACCGUAACUGACGCUGAGACACGAAAGCGUGGGUAGCAAACAGG
rnacentral:rRNA from 1 species